AACGAACGCUGGCGGCAUGCCUAACACAUGCAAGUCGAACGAGACCUUCGGGUCUAGUGGCGCACGGGUGCGUAACGCGUGGGAAUCUGCCCUUGGGUUCGGAAUAACAGUUAGAAAUGACUGCUAAUACCGGAUAAUGUCUUCGGACCAAAGAUUUAUCGCCCAGGGAUGAGCCCGCGUAGGAUUAGCUAGUUGGUGAGGUAAAGGCUCACCAAGGCGACGAUCCUUAGCUGGUCUGAGAGGAUGAUCAGCCACACUGGGACUGAGACACGGCCCAGACUCCUACGGGAGGCAGCAGUGGGGAAUAUUGCGCAAUGGCGAAAGCCUGACGCAGCGACGCCGCGUGGGUGAUGAAGGCCUCGGUCGUAAGACCU
rnacentral:rRNA from 1 species